UCGAGUGGCGAACGGGUGAGUAACACGUGGGUGAUCUGCCCUGCACUUUGGGAUAAGCCUGGGAAACUGGGUCUAAUACCGAAUACCUUGCGCGCACUUCAUGGUGUGUGGUGGAAAGCUUUUGCGGUGUGGGAUGGGCCCGCGGCCUAUCAGCUUGUUGGUGGGGUAAUGGCCUACCAAGGCGACGACGGGUAGCCGGCCUGAGAGGGUGACCGGCCACACUGGGACUGAGAUACGGCCCAGACUCCUACGGGAGGCAGCAGUGGGGAAUAUUGCACAAUGGGCGCAAGCCUGAUGCAGCGACGCCGCGUGAGGGAUGACGGCCUUCGGGUUGUAAACCUCUUUCAAUAGGGACGAAGCGCAAGUGACGGUACCUAUAGAAGAAGGACCGGCCAACUACGUGCCAGCAGCCGCGGUAAUACGUAGGGUCCGAGCGUUGUCCGGAAUUACUGGGCGUAAAGAGCUCGUAGGUGGUUUGUCGCGUUGUUCGUGAAAACUCACAGCUUAACUGUGGGCGUGCGGGCGAUACGGGCAGACUAGAGUACUGCAGGGGAGACUGGAAUUCCUGGUGUAGCGGUGGAAUGCGCAGAUAUCAGGAGGAACACCGGUGGCGAAGGCGGGUCUCUGGGCAGUAACUGACGCUGAGGAGCGAAAGCGUGGGGAGCGAACAGGAUUAGAUACCCUGGUAGUCCACGCCGUAAACGGUGGGUACUAGGUGUGGGUUUCCUUCCUUGGGAUCCGUGCCGUAGCUAACGCAUUAAGUACCCCGCCUGGGGAGUACGGCCGCAAGGCUAAAACUCAAAGAAAUUGACGGGGGCCCGCACAAGCGGCGGAGCAUGUGGAUUAAUUCGAUGCAACGCGAAGAACCUUACCUGGGUUUGACAUGCACAGGACGCCAGUAGAGAUAUUGGUUCCCUUGUGGCCUGUGUGCAGGUGGUGCAUGGCUGUCGUCAGCUCGUGUCGUGAGAUGUUGGGUUAAGUCCCGCAACGAGCGCAACCCUUAUCUUAUGUUGCCAGCGCGUAAUGGCGGGGACUCGUGAGAGACUGCCGGGGUCAACUCGGAGGAAGGUGGGGAUGACGUCAAGUCAUCAUGCCCCUUAUGUCCAGGGCUUCACACAUGCUACAAUGGCCGGUACAAAGGGCUGCGAUGCCGUGAGGUGGAGCGAAUCCUUUCAAAGCCGGUCUCAGUUCGGAUCGGGGUCUGCAACUCGACCCCGUGAAGUCGGAGUCGCUAGUAAUCGCAGAUCAGCAACGCUGCGGUGAAUACGUUCCCGGGCCUUGUACACACCGCCCGUCACGUCAUGAAAGUCGGUAACACCCGAAGCCGGUGGCCUAACCC
rnacentral:rRNA from 1 species